rnacentral:lncRNA from 1 species
ACUUAACACCUCCUUCCUUGCCCGGAGGCCAGAGCUCAAGCCCAUCCCCUGUGCCUACACAGCAGGUAGCUCUGUGGCCUCUACUUCCUCUUCACAGCCAUCCCUAACUUGUUUGCUGCGCCCCAGACCAUUCAGUCUUGUCUUCACCCUUUAGAAUUUCUCUGGUUCCUGACAUACACAAGGGAUUGGUCAGAGGAAUGCACCAGAAGAAAUCCUACCACACAGAAGUUUUCUGUAAAAAAAAAUGAGAUGGUGGAAUUUGAAUACAGAAGUAACUGAUCUGUUCUGAACUUAUAAUGGAUCUCAUGGAAAAUACUAACAUUACCUUCAGCCAUGUCUCCUUACACCCCUCUUGGCUGUGACUGUUUCUCAGACCUUGCUUGCUUUUGAAGGCCUUGACAGUUUGAGCACUACGAGUCAGCACCAUGCAAGGGUUCUCAAAGUGUUGUCCUUGAACCAGCAGCAGCAGCUGCAUCACCUAGGGACAGAUCUCUCUGGUUCCAGUUUCUCUUCUGUUUUCAAAGUGAUAUGCUGAAGAGGAAGGCACAUUAUCGGGAAGUGAGAAUAGGUGUGUCCAACAUCUUGUCUUCUCCUUCAGCCUGGGUCCUGGAAUGAGAAGACAUGUGGGGCAGAGCCGUGCAGAAUCCGGUAGAGGCAAGCAAAACUGCAACUGAUCCACAGAUGAAAGCAUGAUAUGAGCAAGAAAUAAAUUUUUGUUGUU